CUUGGAUGCCUACACUAAUUC
rnacentral:siRNA from 1 species